CAGCCGCCGCGGUAAUACGUAGGUGGCAAGCGUUGUCCGGAAUUAUUGGGCGUAAAGGGCUCGCAGGCGGUUUCUUAAGUCUGAUGUGAAAGCCCCCGGCUCAACCGGGGAGGGUCAUUGGAAACUGGGAAACUUGAGUGCAGAAGAGGAGAGUGGAAUUCCACGUGUAGUGGUGAAAUGCGUAGAGAUGUGGAGGAACACCAGUGGCGAAGGCGACUCUCUGGUCUGUAACUGACGCUGAGGAGCGAAAGCGUGGGGAGCGAACAGGAUUAGAUACCCCAGUAGUCCCUGUCUCUUAUAC
rnacentral:rRNA from 1 species